CAAGUUGAGCGAGGCCGGUAGCAAUACCGAGUCGAGCGGCGAACGGGUGAGUAACGCGUGGAUGACCUGCCCUUGAGUGGGGAAUAACCCGGGGAAACUCGGGCUAAUACCGCAUAAGACCGAGAGGUGAAAGCGGGGUCGCAAGAUCUCGUGCUCAUGGAGGGGUCCGCGUUCGAUUAGCUAGUUGGUAGGGUAAUGGCCUACCAAGGCGACGAUCGAUAGCCGGCCUGAGAGGGUGAUCGGCCACACUGGAACUGAGACACGGUCCAGACUCCUACGGGAGGCAGCAGUGGGGAAUUUUGCGCAAUGGGCUAACGCCUGACGCAGCAACGCCGCGUGGAGGAUGAAGGUCUUUGGAUUGUAAACUCCUGUCAGCAGGGAAAAAGGGAAGGGUGCUAAUACCACUCUGACUUGAUUGUACCUGCAGAGGAAGCCCCGGCUAACUCUGCGCCAGCAGCCGCGGUAAUACAGAGGGGGCAAGCGUUAUUCGGAAUUAUUGGGCGUAAAGGGCGCGUAGGCGGCUUUUCAAGUGACGGGUGAAAUCCCUCGGCUUAACCGAGGAACUGCCUGUCAGACUGGAAGGCUUGAGACCGGGAGAGGUGAGUGGAAUUCCCAGUGUAGCGGUGAAAUGCGUAGAUAUUGGGAGGAACACCAGUGGCGAAGGCGGCUCACUGGACCGGAACUGACGCUGAGGCGCGAAAGCGUGGGGAGCAAACAGGACUAGAUACCCUGGUAGUCCACGCCGUAAACGAUGAGUGCUUGGUGUAGCGGGUAUCGACCCCUGCUGUGCCGAAGUCAACACAUUAAGCACUCCGCCUGGGGAGUACGGUCGCAAGACUGAAACUCAAAGGAAUUGACGGGGGCCCGCACAAGCGGUGGAGCAUGUGGUUUAUUCGAAGCACGCGCA
rnacentral:rRNA from 1 species